GGAUAACCUAGUUGCCCAGUCUCAGGGUUUGCCAGCGAGGGGUGGGGUUAAAAAGGCCCACUGGGCUGUACCUGCCCGAAGCCCAGCCUCCUCCCAGCACACCUGCCUCCACACCUGCAGCCACUCUAGCUCCUGCCCAGAUGUCACGUGGCACACACCUCACAGACGCAGAGAAAACGCUUAUUGCUUCUGGUGGGAAUGGCCGCCUCAAAGCCAUCUUUGCUUUGCUCUCCAGGUUACUAGUGAAUUCAGUUUUUGCCAGUUAUCAAGAUUCUCCCAGCAGAUGCGCGAGGGAGUGACCAGCAACAAGCUAGAUUUUUAGCAGCUGAAGUCAAUCGCUGUCGGGCCCGUGAACCUAUCUUGGCUGGACCUGGAGUGAGGAAGCAGCUAGAACUGGCUCCAGAAAUGUUUCCUGUGUUUCAGCAGCAUUUUAGCUCUUUAGCAAAUUCCAGCUUUAUCCCACGACCUUGGCUACGAUGAAAAUGGGAUUAUACUUAUCUCUGCUAUUUCAGACGGACUGGCGGGAGUCCCUUCGAUAACAUCAAGAUGGCAGAGAGGCGGUCUUUUGGAAUCUUGAUCCUGACCCUAACAGGUCCGGGGGUGCCCAAGAUGCCGCAUGGGAAGCAAGGUGGCUGGUGCUCAGAUCACACCUCCCUCGAGCAGCACGAGGCUCAGGUUGACUCAAGGCUCUGCCAUGCACCGUCCUGGCUCCAGGACACAACUGAUGAGGCAGCUGUUGUCUGGAGCGUUGCUGGUUCCUGGGGCAGAGGAAAGGAACUAUCUGGAGAAACUCACGCAGGCAAUUAAAUGCCCUGGCCUGGAAGACACCCACAUCACUUCACAGCACACGGGGCAGAUCUGGUGACAGUCCCACGAGGGAGCCAAGAAGUUCAGUGCUACCAGGUGCCAGAGAGACAGACUCUUGGGGGAACCAUGUAAUGAUUACUGUAGCUUUUAUUAUCCUUAUUAUUCACAAUUAUAAUGAAAACAUCCUGUGGCAAAGGUAUUCUCAGCAUUCUCUCCAGCCCUUUUUUGGGUAACACAGCUCCAAUCUUGGUAAGGUCUCUCCGUUUCUCCCCAUAGUCAUGGGGCCACAGGGGGGUCUUACACCCUCAGCACGGGGGGUGGGCUUGGUUGGUCAAGAGGGCUGCCUGCCUCUC
rnacentral:lncRNA from 1 species